rnacentral:rRNA from 1 species
CACGGGGGGAGCAAGCGUUGUUCGGAAUCACUGGGCGUAAAGGGCGUGUAGGCGGUCAAGUAAGUGGAAUGUGAAACGCCUCGGCUUACCCGAGGACCUGCAUCCCAAACUGCUUGGCUUGAGUAUGGGAGAGGAUGAGGGAAUUCCUGGUGUAGCGGUGAAAUGCGCAGAUAUCAGGAGGAACACCGGUGGCGAAGGCGGUUCUCUGGGAAUGUACUGACGCUGAGGAGCGAAAGUGUGGGGAGCGAACAGG